UAUGGAGGGUGCAAGCGUUAUCUGGAUUUACUGGGUUUAAAGGGUGCGUAGGUGGGUUGGUAAGUCAGCGGUGAAAUCUUCGAGCUUAACUCGGAAACUGCCAUUGAUACUAUCAAUCUUGAAUCAUCUAGAGGUAAGCGGAAUAUGUCAUGUAGCGGUGAAAUGCUUAGAUAUGACAUAGAACACCAAUUGCGAAGGCAGCUUACUAUGGAUGCAUUGACACUGAGGCACGAAAGCGUGGAGAUCAAACAGG
rnacentral:rRNA from 1 species